GACGAACGCUGGCGGCGUGCUUAACACAUGCAAGUCGAACGGAAAGGCCCUGCUUGCAGGGUACUCGAGUGGCGAACGGGUGAGUAACACGUGGGUGAUCUGCCCUGCACUUCGGGAUAAGCCUGGGAAACUGGGUCUAAUACCGGAUAGGAGCCAUUUUUAGUGUGAUGGUUGGAAAGUUUUUUCGGUGUAGGAUGAGCUCGCGGCCUAUCAGCUUGUUGGUGGGGUAAUGGCCUACCAAGGCGGCGACGGGUAGCCGGCCUGAGAGGGUGGACGGGCACAUUGGGACUGAGAUACGGCCCAGACUCCUACGGGAGGCAGCAGUGGGGAAUAUUGCACAAUGGGCGCAAGCCUGAUGCAGCGACGCCGCGUGGGGGAUGACGGCCUUCGGGUUGUAAACUCCUUUCGCUAGGGACGAAGCUUUUUGUGACGGUACCUAGAUAAGAAGCACCGGCUAACUACGUG
rnacentral:rRNA from 1 species